GUCCAAGACUGCCCAAAGCAGACCUGGUGUCCAGAAGAAGACAGAGUCUAUGAUUCAAAAAAAUGUUGCUAUACAUGUAAGACUAAUUGUAGAUCUUCACCCGUGAAUGUGAAUAUUAAGUACAAUGGUUGCCAGAAAAGAAUCAAGAUGACAAGAUGU